AAUAGGUCAAAUAAAUCAAAAUAAUUAAAUUAAUAAUCAUAUUCACCUUUAAAUUAUAGAGAACGUAAAUUAAUAAUUAACAAAAUAUAAAAUGAAAUAUUCUCACAAAGGUUUUGAAAAGCCUCUAGAUGACCCAGAUAUCAAAAUAAAAAAUAAGUAUAGAUGAGCCAACUCAUCUUAACGAGCUUAGUUUCCUAAACACAAUCAAAACUGGAAUGAUAAAAUUGCAAAAUAAAGAGAAGAAAAUUAAAUCUAAGAAAACAGAG
rnacentral:misc_RNA from 1 species